rnacentral:rRNA from 1 species
GAUGAACGCUGGCGGCGUGCCUAAUACAUGCAAGUCGAGCGAACGGACGAGAAGCUUGCUUCUCUGAUGUUAGCGGCGGACGGGUGAGUAACACGUGGAUAACCUACCUAUAAGACUGGGAUAACUUCGGGAAACCGGAGCUAAUACCGGAUAAUAUUUUGAACCGCAUGGUUCAAAAGUGAAAGACGGUCUUGCUGUCACUUAUAGAUGGAUCCGCGCUGCAUUAGCUAGUUGGUAAGGUAACGGCUUACCAAGGCAACGAUGCAUAGCCGACCUGAGAGGGUGAUAGGCCACACUGGAACGGAGACACGUUCCAGACUCCUACGGGAGGCAGCAGUAGGGAAUCUUCCGCAAUGGGCGAAAGCCUGACGGAGCAACGCCGCGUGAGUGAUGAAGGUCUUCGGAUCGUAAAACUCUGUUAUUAGGGAAGAACAUAUGUGUAAGUAACUGUGCACAUCUUGACGGUACCUAAUCAGAAAGCCACGGCUAACUACGUG